rnacentral:rRNA from 1 species
UGGUAGGUGGGGAACUAACGUUUACGGAAAAGGAACGCUAAUACCGCAUACGUCCUACGGGAGAAAGCAGGGGACCUUCGGGCCUUGCGCUAUCAGAUGAGCCUAGGUCGGAUUAGCUAGUUGGUGAGGUAAUGGCUCACCAAGGCGACGAUCCGUAACUGGUCUGAGAGGAUGAUCAGUCACACUGGAACUGAGACACGGUCCAGACUCCUACGGGAGGCAGCAGGC